rnacentral:miRNA from 1 species
GGUCAGCUGACACAUCCCUGCCAAUCUCCGGCAGACCCUCCCUCCCAGACCCUCCUACUUCCUGGACAGCAUCCAUGUUGAAGGCAGCUUCAACAUGGAUGCUGUCCAGGAGGAGGGAGGGUCUGGGAGGGAGGGUCUGCCGGAGAUUGGCAGGGAUGUGUCAGCUG